GUCAGGAUGGCCGAGCGGUCUAAGGCGCCAGAUUUAAGCUCUGGUUCUCGAAAGAGAGGUUGGGUUCGAACCCCCCACUCCUGACA